CUUGUGUGCGCUGCGGGAUGUGCGCUGUGGUGGUGGAGGGGGUCCUUGUGAGGAGAGCAAGGCCCCGUGAGGGGAGCAGGGCCCGUGUGGAGCUCUUCAUGCCUUCACUGCUGCUCCUGCGGCCUGCCCGCAUUGCUUCCUCUGUGGAAGUGAGGUGGAGUGUCUGUGGUGGUGGAGGCGUACUCAGGGCCUGCAGUUUUCCAAGACAGGGUAGAGCGUGGAAUGGGAACGAUGUCUGCCAAACUUACAGCUUUUAAGCUUAAAAGAUUUAAACGAAGAUUGGAAAGGAUCUCAAUGCACUGAGUACAAGAGGGGGAAACAAAGAUGGAGGGAGAAUACAGGAGUCACUGCAUCUGCUAACAUAUGUGCACCAGAAAUGCAGCAACAAAGCACAGAUCUUGAAUUCACAAAGCACAAGCUAUGGAUUCACUGUUCCAUUGCAGAUAUUACAGUUCUGCUCAGCUACCACAAGAGGGACGUAGAAGGAAAGCUAAGAUAGCCCGGGAGAAAAAAACAAAUCGAAAGAGCAGCUUCAUGCAGGUUCAGCUGCACUGUGGCUAUAAAAAAGUAUUCCUGAAGCAAACUGGAUAAGUACUUUAAAGCAAUGGAGGAAAAGGAGGAGAAGAUCUUGACAUUUCUUCAGUGAUCUCGGAUGAAGAAGAUACUUAGAUAUUAAGGUGAUGAAUGACAUACAAAGAUAGUAGCAGUAUAUGAAACUAGCUAUAAACUCUGUGCUACAAACCAGUUUUCCUUCCCUGUCUAAGCUAAG
rnacentral:lncRNA from 1 species